UUAGUUUUGAAUUAUUCUGUUGCCACUAGCAGGAGGGGUGCUUCUCAAGAUUACGUGCAGAAAUCCUUUACACCUUGAUGUUUAGACACCUUAUCAAUACAAAUCCUUGGUAAGUGACUAAUAGCUUGU
rnacentral:lncRNA from 1 species